rnacentral:rRNA from 1 species
ACGGAAGGCAGCAGUGGGGAAUAUUGCACAAUGGGGGAAACCCUGAUGCAGCGACGCCGCGUGAGUGAAGAAGUAUUUCGGUAUGUAAAGCUCUAUCAGCAGGAAAGAAAAUGACGGUACCUGACUAAGAAGCCCCGGCUAACUACGUGCCAGCAGCCGCGGUAAUACGUAGGGGGCAAGCGUUAUCCGGAUUUACUGGGUGUAAAGGGAGCGUAGACGGCUUUGCAAGUCUGAAGUGAAAGCCCGGGGCUCAACCCCGGAACUGCUUUGGAAACUGUAGAGCUGGAGUGCAGGAGAGGUAAGUGGAAUUCCUAGUGUAGCGGUGAAAUGCGUAGAUAUUAGGAGGAACACCAGUGGCGAAGGCGGCUUACUGGACUGUAACUGACGUUGAGGCUCGAAGGCGUGGGGAGCAAGCAGGAUUAGAUACCCUGGUA